rnacentral:rRNA from 1 species
GGGGAUGCCGGGGGGCCUUAUACCUGCCAAGUCGAGCGGACAGAAGGGAGCUUGCUCCCGGAUGUUAGCGGCGGACGGGUGAGUAACACGUGGGUAACCUGCCUGUAAGACUGGGAUAACUCCGGGAAACCGGAGCUAAUACCGGAUAGUUCCUUGAACCGCAUGGUUCAAGGAUGAAAGACGGUUUCGGCUGUCACUUACAGAUGGACCCGCGGCGCAUUAGCUAGUUGGUGAGGUAACGGCUCACCAAGGCGACGAUGCGUAGCCGACCUGAGAGGGUGAUCGGCCACACUGGGACUGAGACACGGCCCAGACUCCUACGGGAGGCAGCAGUAGGGAAUCUUCCGCAAUGGACGAAAGUCUGACGGAGCAACGCCGCGUGAGUGAUGAAGGUUUUCGGAUCGUAAAGCUCUGUUGUUAGGGAAGAACAAGUGCAAGAGUAACUGCUUGCACCUUGACGGUACCUAACCAGAAAGCCACGGCUAACUACGUGCCAGCAGCCGGCGGUAAAGGGCCCCCCUCCAACUGAGUUGGCGUCGCAACUUCAGCCGCAAGAGCCCACGUUAUCACGCCCGCGUCUCCAAAAGGAAGGAGUGUUUCCCCCGUUCCGUCAACAUGCCCCCAUAUUUAGGCACUCACGUAGAAAAGACACACCCGCGUACGUCCAGCAUGCUCCCACACGGAUGGCGGCCAACCGGGGCUUAUGGA